AUUAAUUCGAUGCAACGCGAAAACCUUUACCUGGCCUUGACAUGUAGCGAACUUUCCAGAGAUGGAUUGGUGCUCGAAAGAGAACGCUAACACAGGUGCUGCAUGGCUGUCGUCAGCUCGUGUCGUGAGAUGUUGGGUUAAGUCCCGCAACGAGCGCAACCCUUGCCAUUAAUUGCCAUCAUUUAGUUGGGCACUUUAAUGGGACUGCCGGUGACAAACCCGGAGGAAGGUGGGGAUGACGUCAAGUCCUCAUGGCCCUUAUGGCCAGGGCUUCACACGUAAUACAAUGGUCGGUACAGAGGGUUGCCAAGCCGCGAGGUGGAGCCAAUCCCAGAAAGCCGAUCGUAGUCCGGAUUGUAGUCUGCAACUCGACUACAUGAAGUCGGAAUCGCUAGUAAUCGCGGAUCAGCAUGUCGCGGUGAAUACGUUCCCGGGCCUU
rnacentral:rRNA from 1 species